GCGCGAAAACUUUACAAUGCUGGCAACAGCGAUAAGGGAACCUCGAGUGCCAGGUUACAAAUCUGGCUGUCGAGAUGCCUAAAAAGCAUUUCAUAGCAAGGGCCGGCAAGACCGGUGCCAGCCGCCGCGGUAACACCGGCGGCUCGAGUGGUAACCGUUAUUAUUGGGUCUAAAGGGUCUGUAGCCGGCCGGAUAAGUCUCUUGAGAAAUCUGGCAGCUUAACUGUCAGGCUUUCAGGAGAUACUGUCUGGCUCGAGGCCGGGAGAGGUGAGAGGUACUUCAGGGGUAGGGGUGAAAUCUUGUAAUCCUUGAAGGACCACCAGUGGCGAAGGCGUCUCACCAGAACGGACCUGACGGCAAGGGACGAAAGCUAGGGGCACGAACCG
rnacentral:rRNA from 1 species